CAUAAAAAUAGAAAUAGACAAAAAGAAAAACUGCUAGCGAUAAUUGUUAUAAUUCUUUUACGAAAUAGUUUGGUUUAUAAUAACAAAUAUAUUUAUAAUAUUAUAAUGUCCUAAUACCAUACAAAAUAGUAAACAACGAGAAUCAAUAGAGUAUCAUACUUGUGUGAUGCCUUCCGCACAGCAGAUGCAAUGACGAAAUUAAGAAACGGGAUAUAAGCAGAUAUCGAAAAAAGGAAUAACAAAAAUAUCGAACUCCAAGACAAGUUCAAAAAGGUUAUUUAAAAAAAAAAAAAACUGACAAAAUCAAACUCUAAUCAAUGAACAGAACAAAUGAAAAACAAC
rnacentral:lncRNA from 1 species